UGCAUCAAUGAUGGAUCAAGCUAUGUCUCGGCUAUAAGAAGGUUAAGCGAUUAUCUUCUUGGAUACAAGGAUGCAGACCCAGUAAAAGAAAAUCUCCCGUUAUUGCAUUUCAGAUCAGGUGUCGAUCGUUAUAUCUGGAUAAUUGAAUGAUAUAUGCAUAUUAUCACCCAAAGGUUGAGAAAAUGGAUGGAAAAACUCGAGGAAUCUGAUAGAAAACUUAACAGUGUCUUGUUGGUGGCUUGA